CUGGAUCAAGCAAUCCUCCCACCUGAGCCUCCAGAGCAGCUGGGACUACAGGGAUUGCAGGGAUCACAGAAAGACUACCCAGGUCCAGCAGCUACCUGCAAGCGGAGAUCCCUCUGGACGCCCCCGCCUCACCCAGCAAAGCCGGAUCACAACCCUGCGCUCUCAAACCUCUAAAAGGGCUUGAGGUGCUAAGAGGAAAGGAAGCCCAAGAUUGCCACGGCUUACGUGGGCUCCAAGGAGGGCCAGGAGUCACUGCCUGCUUGGGCUAAGGGUACCGCGUACGGAAAGGCGGCGGGGGCGCGGCCCAGUCCUAGGAGAUGCGCCCAAUGAAGAAGCGGAGGGACACGGUCACGGGAUAGGGCAGACACCCGGCUGCUUUUUGUUUGCUAGACACCAGCGCCAGCCCCUGCCCGGCCCUCCCGGUCUCCUAAGUGGGGUCUUAGGCUCUACAGCGCCCCCGACCGCCCUCCUGCGCUCCUCACCGUCUCCAUUGCAAGAGGCGCCGGCUUGGUUUUCUUGCUUUAGGAAACUCUCUUGGGGAAGGCCACGCCCCACAUCCGGUGCGGCGACGCCACUUCCGCCCACGUCAUGGCAGUCGCCAGACUACGGCGGAAGGCGUGGAACCCACCCUUCCGGCGGUGGCAGGCCUCGGUAACCGCCCUCCCCCGGGUCCUCUCGGACCGCACGGAUCCGGCUGACGGCGAGGGUCACGGGACGGAGCCGCUUGUAUUUAAAAUGUUCUUUUUUUAUUUGUCGUUUAAAAACAAACUUGGAAGAAGCAAAAUCCAAAACUUGCCCUUUGCCUCUCGCAACAUAAAUUAUGUACAGUUCAGAAUGAUCGCUGAUACAAAACAUGCCAAGGACAGGGGCGCUGAGGGUGGAGGGAGAGAGGGCGCUUUAAAAAAGGGAACCAUUUCAUCCGUUGUUACGAAGGACCAACCUUGCUGUACAGGAUACACACAACACAAAAUAAAGUCUUCACGGGAUUCACACUUGUCAGCGAUUUAUUUUUUAAAAAGGGGGAGGGUCCUGGAGGUGAGGGGAGAAGACUGUAAAGGGGAAAACUGAAAAUUGAGUAUGUGCGAGUGUAAACCAACCCAAAAUACAAACACGGGGGGGUGGGGGAUUCUGAUGCAAUUAUACAGGCAGGGUACUUAAAAAAAAACCAACCAAAAUUCCAACCUUGUAGCUUGGGUCUGAGUUAUAGUUUAUAUAAAAAUUAAAAACUGUAUAAGGUUUCUUCACUAAAUUCUACAGGACUAUCGGAUACCUAGCAUAUGCUUACAAAGUCUGCCCCAUCCCCUUUUCCCAAUCCCAGGGCCCAAGCCCCAAACACAGCCUGACUCACGGGAGCCAAUCUCCCCCUCCCUGUAGCCUAGACCUAUUGCUCUCCGAAAAGGAACAUCAAGGGCUGUGGCUUUGAGGGCUGCAGCCCAGUCUUCCUGCUGUCUGAUUUAAUUACAGCGGUUCCUGUGGGAGUGGGGGGUGUUAUUCUCUUAAACAUUUGCAGCUUGAAACAGUUGAGGAAGCAGCUUAAAAAAAAAAAAAAAAAAAAA